UACGUAGGGUCCGAGCGUUAAUCGGAAUUACUGGGCGUAAAGCGUGCGCAGGCGGUUUUGUAAGCCAGAUGUGAAAGCCCCGGGCUCAACCUGGGAACUGCAUUUGGGACUGCAAGGCUGGAGUACGGCAGAGGGAGGUGGAAUUCCACGUGUAGCAGUGAAAUGCGUAGAGAUGUGGAGGAAUACCGAUGGCGAAGGCAGCCCCUGGGUCAAGCACUGACGCUCAUGCACGAAAGCGUGGGGAGCAAACAGG
rnacentral:rRNA from 1 species